AUUUCACUCCUCUCUCUCUUCCCUUUAUUAUCCAUUAUCAUUCCCUUCCUCUCUUUCUCACCUUUAUUAUCCAUUAUCGUUCCCUUCUCUGAAUACCAAGGGUUGGGAUCUUGAUUGAGUUCAUGGUUGUUCUUUCAAUUUCUUUCUCAAUCCAUUAUCUGGAGCGUCUAGAAUUUCGGCGCUUGGCAUCUCGGAGGAAUUCCCCUUGCACGCCAUGAAAGACGCUUGGGAUCUCUGAUGGGGUUUCCUUGGUUGGUUCCCCCUUCAACCUUACCACAGGGGCUGCUUAAAAGUGUCAACCCAUCCCAAAUGGAUUGUGAUGUUGUUGUAAGAAUAAUCCGACUUUGGGAAUCACAGAAUAGGAAGACGGGUGAAACUAUAAGUCUCGAAAUGAUUUUGCUUGAUCAUGAGGGGACACAAAUCCAUGCCAUCAUUUGGAAAUGACAAGCGGAACGCUUCCGGGAUAAAUUAGAAGAGGGAAAAAUAUACAAAAUUACGCAUUUCAAAGUCAUUGAGAGCAAAGAGAAGUACAAACCAAUGGAUGAAGAAUACACCAUCGUAUUUCUGUCGAACACUAACUUGGUAGAAAUCUCUGAAGAUGCUGCUGUUUCUAUUGACUAUCACAAGUUCUAUUUUCAAGAUCAUCAAGAAUUAAUCAAACGCCUUAACAACCACGUUUUUCUUUUAGAUGUUAUUGGCCUGCUGAUUGGUGUGGGAGAUAUUGAAUCCACUUUGGCGCAUGGGUCUAUGGUGGACAAGAUGGAUAUGGAGCUUCGACUUGAGGGGUCAACAUUGUUUAUCAUCUACCGGGGCUACCAAAAUUUAUAUCAACCUCGAUAUACCAGAGAACAAUGAGAUUAUUCAAAGCUACGAGUCGAGCUCGGAUGGUGUCACAAUGAUUGCAGGAAAGUUACCUCCUAAAUUGACGACUCAUGAGCAGAUGAUAACAAAUAGGAAAAAAAUUUCAGAUUUGAUAUCUAUGCAGCCUCCAAAAAUAAAAAAUAAUGUGGUCAUGGUGACUCUUCUUGCUGGAAUUCAAGAGGUGCAAAAUAAACUGGGUUGGUAUUAUUUCUCUUGCGAAAAUUGUAAGAGAAAGUUGGAGAAGUCUGGCAGUGUCUACCGCUGUGAUUCAUGCAACCGUAUCUCGGUGUUCCUAAUACGAGGUACGCAUUUGACUAUGUAUUUUCAAUCAACUUCUUUUCAUAUAUUCUAUUGCCAAAAAAAGCCUUAAAGAUACGAAAUUUCUUUUAUUGUUACAAAGUGAUAUUAUUGGUAAAGGAUGAUACUGGCGAAACAACACUUACUUUGUUCGAUUGUGAGGUUUUGCAAUUAAUAGGAAUUACAUUGUCCCAGCUUAUCAGCCAUCAUGAUGGAUCUACGCACAAUCUACCCAAUCAGUUUGAUCACCUUCGUGAAUGAAGAUUACACAGUUUCGAAAAUCUUUGAUAUAGGCAAAGAUAACAUUGGAGGAUCUGAAAAUUUGUUUUCUGCCAAAAUCAAGGAAGAAGAGCCACAUGAGUACCUGGAAUUGUCAAAAACCAAAGAAAAUAUCGAAGGAAAUGAAAGCAGCAUUGUUGAUGUUACAAAAGGAGACAUGAAUAAAGCUGAGCAUGAGAUUGAAAUCAGUCCCAAAGGGUCCGGGAUUAUGGUGUACCUAAUCCAUUGAAGAAGAAUGAGAAACACUGUGCCCCUGCCCUACAAAAAAAGGGUAAAAAGAAAGCAAAACUUGGUUCCGAUUAACUGUAGUUCUAAGACUGAAUGGAUCUUUUAAUAAAAAAUAAUAAUAAUAACCACAUUUACCUGCUAAAUGUCGAACAAAACUUAGAUAAAUCUUUCAAGCAUGAGCCAAUGUAAUGAUUGUAGACCUUAACUUCAAAAAAAUUACAAUCUGCCUUAAAUCUUUUACGUUUGCUUACAUCCGUGAUUUAGACAGUCUUUAAUUGGUUUCAUCUACUCUUAUUUUCUUAUGUUUAUUAAAUAAUAUCUCUGUUGUUUAUUACAU